AAAAAACUGAAUUUCUAGGCAAAGAGUCCGGAUCAUCAAGCGGACAAGCCGGCGAGAAUACACGGGGAAAAGGCGUGCUCUAAAGUUUUCAGGUUUUCUUGUAGAAGGAUGAUGAUCAAGCAUAUGUAUCCGAACCGAACACUCUAACAAACGCUUCCGCACUUGAUCCUUUGUUUU